AAUGAUGCACGGUCUAUCGCUGCUUUUGUAUGAAAGUGGAGGAAAGUCCGGACAACGUAGAGCACCACACCACCUAACGGGUGGGAUUUUCAAUUUCCUCAAAAGGGAAUUUGGAGGUACAGAAAGUGUCGCAGAAAACUAUACCGCCUUUUGCUUGCAAGAGGUAAGGGUGAAAACGUGAGGUAAGAGCUCACGAUGGCAAUUGGCAACAGUUGUCAUGGAUAAACCUUGUGGGUUGAAAUGCCGCGUAUAUUUUGGUUAUCCGCCUUGGUGGAUAGGAGGGUUGCUCGCUCAAAACGCAAGUUACCAAAAGGGGUAGGCAGCUCAGAUAAAUGAUAGACGGAUCCUUUGGGGUCUUACAGAAUCCGGCUUACAGUGCAUCAGUUUUU
rnacentral:RNase_P_RNA from 1 species